rnacentral:rRNA from 1 species
UACGUAGGUGGCAAGCGUUGUCCGGAUUUACUGGGCGUAAAGAGCGCGCAGGCGGUCAAAUAAGUCGAAUGUGAAAGCCCCCGGCUCAACUGGGGAGGGUCACUCGAUACUGAUCGACUUGAAGGCAGGAGAGGGAAGCGGAAUUCCCGGUGUAGUGGUGAAAUGCGUAGAUAUCGGGAGGAACACCAGUGGCGAAGGCGGCUUCCUGGCCUGUUCUUGACGCUGAGGCGCGAAAGCUAGGGGAGCAAACGGG